GGAGGGUCUGUAGCUCAGUGAUUAGACAUCUGCUUAGCAUGCAGAAAGUCCUGGGUUCAAUUCCCAGCAUCUCCA
rnacentral:tRNA from 1 species